rnacentral:rRNA from 1 species
CCUACGGGUGGCAGCAGUGAGGAAUAUUGGUCAAUGGUCGCAAGUCUGAACCAGCCAUGCCGCGUGAAGGAAGACGGCACUGAGUAUCGUAAACUCCUUUUGUAAGGGAACAAACCCAGAGACGUGUAUCUGUCUGAGAGUACCGUAAGAAAAAGGAUCGGCUAACUCCGUGCCAGCAGCCGCGGUAAUACGGAGGAUUCAAGCGUUAUCCGGAUUUGUUUGGUUUAAAGGGUGAGGAGGCGGUCAGGUAAGUUAGAUGUGAAAUCCCGGGGCUCAACUUCGGGACAGCCUUUGAUACUGUUCGGCUAGAGUGUAGUUGAGGUAGGCGGAAUGUGUGGUGUAGCGGUGAAAUGCUUAGAGAU